UACGUAGGGGGCUAGCGUUGUCCGGAAUCAUUGGGCGUAAAGAGCGCGUAGGCGGCUGGAAUAGUCCGGUGUGAAAUCCACAGGCUUAACCUGUGAAUGCCGCUGGAAACUGUCUGGCUAGAGUCCGGAAGGGGCGAGUGGAAUUCCUGGUGUAGCGGUGAAAUGCGCAGAUAUCAGGAGGAACACCGGUGGCGAAGGCGGGUCUCUGGGCCGACAUUGACGCUGAGGAGCGAAAGCGUGGGGAGCGAACAGG
rnacentral:rRNA from 1 species